UACGAAGGGGGCGAGCGUUGUUCGGAUUUACUGGGCGUAAAGGGCUCGUAGGCGGCCAACUAAGUCGGAUGUGAAAUCCCCAGGCUUAACCUGGGAACUGCAUCCGAUACUGGAUGGCUUGAAUCCGGGAGAGGGAUGCAGAAUUCCAGGUGUAGCGGUGAAAUGCGUAGAUAUCUGGAGGAAUACCGGUGGCGAAGGCGGCAUCCUGGACCGGCAUUGACGCUGAGUGAGCGAAAGCCAGGGGAGCAAACGGG
rnacentral:rRNA from 1 species